UACGAAGGGGGCUAGCGUUGCUCGGAAUCACUGGGCGUAAAGCGCACGUAGGCGGAUCUUUAAGUCAGGGGUGAAAUCCUGGAGCUCAACUCCAGAACUGCCUUUGAUACUGGGGAUCUCGAGUCCGGGAGAGGUGAGUGGAACUGCGAGUGUAGAGGUGAAAUUCGUAGAUAUUGGGAAGAACACCAGUGGCGAAGGCGGCUAACUGGUCCAGAUCUGACGCUGAGGUGCGAAAGCGUGGGGAGCAAACAGG
rnacentral:rRNA from 1 species